rnacentral:lncRNA from 1 species
GUCUCAAAAUAAACAUUAAAAAUAAACAUGUCAAAAAAUGACAUUUUCUAAAGGAAGGUAUCCUAAAAUGGGUUUAUUUUACUUCAGUUGGUUUAGCCUCUAUGAUCCUCUUUCCUGGAGCCCUUGGCAAACCCUCAAUCUCAGGUCAUGGUGGAGGAAGAGACAGGAACCUGGGCAGGGUCCUAAGUCCUACUGAUUAGGAACAGAUCUGGGGAUCAGAAAAGGUCCUCUGCCCACGGGCCCUACUGCUUUGGGGGCAUCCCCACAUGUCUGCACGUGCCUUGCCUUUUCCGUGUCUGGGUCUCAGGAUCACCACAACCAAAAACAUUCCUGUCUCAAUCUCAGUGGGCGUCAGCCUAUAGGGUCUUCAGCCUAUCGAGUAGGUAGGAGCCACCCCUGCCCUCUGGGACGCCACUUAACUCUGCUAUCCUAUUCUCACCCUGCACACAUCAGAAGAAUUUUCACUUGAACUUGGAGAUCCCUUGGCCCCUCCCUCCAAACACCCUAACGACCGAUCCCUCUUCCAUUGUGCGCUGCACCCUGAAGGCCGGCAGGGGGCGCGCCGACCCGCCGCCUUGGGCCAGCGUGGAACGCAUGCGCGUGGCGCCCCUUGCCCUCGACGCUGCGUCCGCACGAGAGCUCAGAGACGCGUUCCCUCUGGGGCGACGGAGGAGGCGACGCCGCGGAGGACGAGAGCCCCGUUAUCUGCCGACCUCACUGUGACACGUGGAUCUGAAAUAAGCCUAGGACCCUGGCGAAUUUAUACAAUAUUUACAAAAAGACAAGGAAGGAAAAUACGGAUUUUGAAAGGAAAGGUUGUCCUCAGAAUGAAAAUAGGACGGCUACCAUCUCUUCAGAAUGCUUUGUCUGCUUAGUUACUGGACUGUCCCUUGGUGAGAAUACGCAGGAAGAGAGGAGCGACUGAGUUCUAGACCAUGCAACCACAGGUGAGUAGGACUUACUCUUCCUUCUCAUG